ACACACAUUUUGCACGCGGCUACGCUGUCAUACGGUUCUAUCGUGUCUAAAAUUCUCCUCCCCAGGGCAGCCGUCUUUUCUUGAAGAGGGUAUCAAGGUCAACCGACGCGGCGACGUAGUGACAUCCAAGUCGGUUCUUAGCGAACCGUAGUCGCGCCUCGCUGACAGAUCGUCCUGUGCGUCUCUCAGGCGUGCACGCCUGUCACGAGGAUAACGUCGUUCAUUCUGUAAUUCACCAUGAUGUGGGCAACAUUGCUCGCAGGACUCGUCUUACUGUCGGCGAUACCUUCUGGUUUUCCACGAAGCGUCUAUGAUGGCCGACAGAAACGCAGUAUUGAUCUAAACGAUGUCUACUACUCGAAAAUGCCCCAAUAUAGAUUACCAAACGAAGUUACGCCAACCAACUAUUAUUUGGAUAUCGAGAUACCUUCCAUCGAGAGCGAUCGAUUCAACGGUCGCGUCAAGAUCAACCUCACCUGGUCAGACACCAGCGAUAGAAUAAUUCUAAACGUUCAUCAAAAUCUAGAGAUUUCGAUGGUCAACAUUAGGAUGAUUCAACUAGCGCCUGAAGAAGCGGAGAAAGGCGUACCGAUGGGCGUUAAUAUCGCAAGAACAGAACGACAAAAACAGAAAUCCUGGUACAUCAUCCAUUUGGAGCAAAUGCUGAAGAAUGGAAGUGCCUGUGAGGUGGAUAUCACGUAUUAUGGAAAUAUCACGACCAAUGAGACUACUGGCCUCUACAAAAGCGGAUAUAUGGAUUCCGGUGGCCGAGAACACCUCUUCAUCGCCACUUAUUUACAAUUAGAUAACGCGCAGAAAAUGCUACCGUGUAUGGAUGACCCUCCUUAUAAAACGACUUUCAAAUUGAAAGUAUUAUAUCCUAAAGGUUUAAAGGCGCUCACAAACACACCGUCGAUCUCCCGACGCGAGUUGACCGAGAAAUCGAAAAUUGAAGAAGAAUUUGAAGAGACACCGAGAAUGUCGACGAAUCAAUUAGCUCUCAUAAUAUCAGAUUUAGAAUACAUUGAACCUCUAAAAGAAGUGAACAAAAUAGACGGAUGGAAAUUGCAAGUCAAAGUUUGGGGCCGCAAGGAAUUCAUGGAGCGGCUGGUUGACGUUCCUGAUAAAGUCGUGACGAUCAUUAAUUAUUUGCAAAAUUAUUUCAACAGUUCUUUUAGUUUAUCCAAAUUGGACGUAAUGGCCAUUCCCAUGUACAGCGCUUCUAAAGCGUCUGACAAUUGGGGUCUCAUGUUCUUCAAAGAAAGUGAACUCAGCAGUCCUCUAGUAUGGACCACUGCCUAUGAACUUCUCUAUCAAUGGAUCGGUCAAACUAUCACUCCGUAUCGUCGAAAUGAUGCGCCAGUUAAUAAAGCUCUCAAUUCGUUCUUAGCAUCUAUGGCGACAAUUGAUCUCAAUCCAAAUGAAAUGGAAGGAAAAUGGCCAAUGACAGUAUUGUAUUCUCUGUAUUACGAAUUUGCGCAGACAGCACCUUUCUCUAGAGUAGCUGGAAUUAGACACGAAGCAACAUGGACAAAAGCCGAGUUGGUUUUCCGAAUGUUUAAUUACACUUUUGGUCACGAACUGUUCCGAGAGAGCGUGAGAAAAUUCUUCCAUCAUCAGUCGAAAGAGAACCGCAGGACCUUUUUCGCCAACGAUAUUUUCACUUACUUGAACGAUUUGGCGAACGAGACGGACAAUUUGCCACCAGGUCUGACUGUCAACGGUAUCGCCGCAUCAUGGAUCAACCGGGAUCGAGUGCCGUUGGUCACGGUCAUUCGCGAUUACGAAACUAGAAGAAUCAAUCUCAGCCAGAAAGUUUAUCUGAGAGAUAUACCGCCACAAUCGACAGCAAAAGUAUCGUAUCAGUGGGACAUCCCGAUCGUGAUACAGUUUCAGAAUAAUCUAAAUUUCCACAAUACUAAACCGAUCGUAUGGUUAAGAAAAGAGAACGAGCCGAAGAAUUUAACUAUCUUGGACUUUACUACCAAAGAUAAUUUUAUCAUUGUUAAUCCCGAGGAAAUAGGAAUGUUUCCGGUGAACUAUGACUCCUGCAAUUGGAAGAUGUUAUCGCAGUAUUUGCAAGGACCAGAUCGCGAAAAGAUACCUCCGUUAACGAGAGCGAAGUUGCUGCACGAUGCAUGGAACUUGGCGUAUGCCGGCGAAUUGUGCUUUGGCAUUGCAAUGAACAUGACUCUCUUCCUGAAAGAGGAAAAGAGCCACGUGGUUUGGGAACCGGUGUUUACGAUGAUUCAUCAUAUUGGUCGGCGAAUUGAGGGACUGGACGUGUAUUUCAAAUUCGAGGUUUAUAUCCAAAGCUUGAUAAAGCCUCUUUAUUUGGAACUUGGCGAGAAUCCGCAACCGGACGAACCUUCCUGGAAAACUCAUAUGCGUGGUCUUAUGAAGAAUUUCCUCUGCCGGGCUGGAUAUGAACCUUGCGUUAAGGAAGCUAGGGACGAAUUCAACAAAUGGUUGACCGAUGAAGAACCAGACAAAGGAAACCCGGUCGCGAAUAAAUUCCUGUGCCCGGUGUUUAAAUGGGGCACCAACGAAGAAUGGGAGUUUGGAUUGCAGCGUGUCAUAAAUUUCCCGAAGACCAGCUUGGCGAGAAAACAGAACGAGCGCACUUACUUAUUAAAGACUCUUGCCGGGUGUCCGAAGGAUGCGAAUAAGAUUGAAAGGCUACUGCAAGUGGCUGUGUUGGAUCAGAACGAGAACUUCACGGACGCGGACAUCCAACUGAUCUUCAGCAUGUUGACCGGCGGUGCAACCGGCUACAAGACUCUGUUUAAUUUCCUACAAGAACACUGGUAUGCCGUGAAGGAGCGAUUCCAGAAUAAGACUUACCUCUGGAAUGGUAUCAUCAAUUCUGCCACGUCGUCCUUCAAUACGCAGGAGGGCUACGACAUGGUGAGCCAGCUUUACCUGGACCAUCAGAAUGAAUUCGAGUCGGCGGACGCCAUCAUCAGGAAGGCGCUCAGGGUCAUUAAGCAGGAAUCUAUUAAGUGGAACGAGGAAAACGUGCCGGUGAUCGACACCUGGCUCAAGGAGAACCUGUCUAAGGAAGACUUAGAGACGAUCGCGGCUGCGACGUCUACCUUUAUCCUCUCCACGACCAUCGUACCUACAACGACAGAUUAAACAGCUGAGCGAUGAGACUCGCGAAGCAUGGGUGAAUGAACGAACUCGAAAAUUCGGAAUUUUGAUAUAUUUAACCCAUUGAGUUAUGCAACAAUUGUCAACUCAAACACGAUAUGGGAAUCGUGUUUCUGAGCGAGGAGGACUGAUACACGGUGGCAUAAUUAAAACGCGGCGAGAGGAUAUCGGAAAUUGCUCUAGAUAUAUAGUAAAUUAGAAGUACAGGUUGAAAAUAAUGUAUUACAUUUUAUAAAUAUUAAUUUUUAUUUUUGUAAAACUAAUGAAAAUCGAUAUUGCUCGUGUGAUGUAUUUAUUUCAUCGACACAGAUGGUUCACAAAG
rnacentral:misc_RNA from 1 species